rnacentral:rRNA from 1 species
AUGAACCAAACGUCGAGUUAAGGGGCCUCAACGAAUGCUCAUUCAGAUCCCAUCGAAAGGUGUUGGUUGCUAUAGACAGCAGGACGGUGGCCAUGGAAGUUGGAACCCGCUAAGGAGUGUGUAACAACUCACCUGCCGAAGCAACUAGCCCUUAAAAUGGUAUGGCGCUGAAGCAUUCUCCCGAUACUCGGCCGCCGGGGCACUACCGGCCUGGCUCCUGCCAGGUCUCGACGCCCCGGCGAGUAGGAGGGUCGCGGUGGUGUGCGCUGAAGGGUUCGGCGUGAGCCGGCCUGGAGCCUCCACUGGUGCAGAUCUUGGUGGUAGUAGCAAAUAAUCGAGAGAGACUCCCUCGAAGGCCGAAGUGGAGAAGGGUUCCA